GGUAGGGAGCAGAGAGUACAUGUGAGGUGUGGGGGAAGGUAUGAAAACAUUGUUGGGAGCGGAUUGUUGUUGCCGUCGUUUGUUGUACUUGGAGACAAGCGUCGAGGGGAUGGCGAUUGGGGAAGGCGAGAAGAUGGCACUGGGAGGAGAAAGGCAUCAUUUGCCACCGUACAUACAUAUGUGCGUCUGUCAUGACAGUGGACGGUUGUGGGCAAAUCUAGUAUCUACAUGUGGGUUUGUUACUAGGCUUGGUUGGAUCAUAGUUAUGAUUUGUGCUAGAUUCCUUCCUUUGAAGAUUGAAGCUGGAGAACUUUAGGGUGUAGUAUGAUCAACCUGAGAUAUAUCAGAUUUAUAUAGGUAUAGUAUGGUUGGCAUGAGUGUGGUAUUGGUGGACUAUUGGAUCAUCUUGGAUAUUACUACUUGGAUUCUAGGUUGGAGGUAACUUGGGCACUUGGAUUUGUGAUAUUUUGACCUAAGUUUAUGGAUAUGGGCAUGUAGAUGAUAAAUGGAUUGGAGUUGGUAGACUUUGAUGAUUUUGCUAGCCCUCCUCAUAUGUAUUGGACUUAGAUAACUAUGAUACUAGGCUUGGUUGGAUCAUAGUUAUGAUUUGUGCUGGAUUCCUUCAUUUGAAGAUUGAAGCUGGAGAACUUUAGGGUGUAGAGUUAUCAACGUGAGAUAUAUCGAAUUUAUAUAGGUAUAGUAUGAUUGAAAUGAGUGUGCUAUUGGUGGACUAUUGGAUCAUCUUGGAUAUUGUUACUUGGAUUCUAGGUUUAAGAUAAUUUGGGCACUUGGAUUUGUGAUAUUUUGACCUAAGCUUAGUAGUUUGUAUGUGCCCCAUAUGAAUAUGAGCCACGGAGAUGAUACAAAUGGAUCGGAGUUGGUAGACUUCGAUGAUUUUGCUAACCCUCCCCAAAAAUGUUAUGUACAAGAUCAUCAUGGUCGUGGAGGGAAAACUAGGCAUGACUCAACCCAAUGUAUAAGAAGAAAUAUGAUUUUGACCAUGCAAAUGGAAAUACAUGUACAUGCAGUGCCAACGGAAAAAAUGUUAAUUUAGUGGAUUCUGGUACGAAGCCACCUUGCAAGAGGUUAUUGAGUGCAGGCAACCCUGCGUUGGUGAAGGACCCUUCCUUGGCACCGGAGGAAAUGAAGUGACAGGGGUCUUAAGACUGUGAGGGAAAAAUUGGGACGAGUGACUCAGCUCAGGGUUCCUCUUUGCAAGUUCAAGUGAAAAGGCAGAGGAUGGCAGGGCGUGCUGCUCUUGAUAGCGUUUGCAUCGCUUCUUCAUACCUCUCGUGCACUCUUCGUUUCCCGCCGAUUCGACUUGGCGUCCUUACCUUGUUUGAGGGUUAUGUGUCACGGACUUGGUUCCGCAUCCCACGUUCCCUUGCUAGGAGUCCCUAGCCUUGGCGACAGGUAGCGACGUGCACUUGGGCGCUUGGCGUCCUUGGGUAAGUUCGGGGGCGGUGCCCAAGCUUGCAGCUAUGGCGACAACUUGCAUGGGAGCAGAUGAUGUAGGAACAAGGCAGCACACGAGUAACUCGCAGCCAGGGAAAUGAUACCUAGCCGGACAUGCAGGCAGUGGAGAGUACACAAGAGGUGUGGGUAGGGGUGAAAACGCUGCCGGGGAGCUGCUGCCGUUAGUUAGCCUUUAGAUCCAGAGCUGAGUGGCGAGGGUAUGAUCAACCUAAGAUAUAUCAGAUUUAUAUAUGUAUAGUAUGGUUGGCAUGAGUGCGGUAUUGGUGGACUAUUAGAUCAUCUUGGACAUUACUACUUGGAUUCUAGGUUGGAGGUAACUUGGGCACUUGGAUUUGUGAUAUUUUGACCUAAGCUUAGUAGCUUGUAUAUGCCCCAUUGGAUCAUCUUGGAUAUUACUACUUGGAUUCUAGGUUGGAGAUAACUUGGGCACUUGGAUUUGUGAUAUUUUGACCUAAGCUUAGUAGCUUGUAUGUGCCCCAUAUCUGAUAUGAGCAUGGAGAUGAUACAAAUGGAUCGGAGUUGGUAGACUUUGAUGAUUUUGCUAGCCCUCAUAUGUAUUGGACUUAGAUACUAGGCUUGGUUGGAUCAUAGUUAUGAUUUGUGCUGGAUUCCUUCAUUUGAAGAUUGAAGCUGGAGAACUUUAGGUGUAGAGUUAUCAACGUGUGAUAUAUCGGAUUUAUAUAGGUAUGGUAUGAUUGAAAUGAGUGUGGUAUUGGUGGACUAUUGGAUCAUCUUGGAUAUUUGUAGGUUAUUGAGUGCAGGCAACCCUGCGUUGGUGAAGGACCCUUCCUUGCGCCGGAGGAAAUGAAGUGACAUGGGUCUUAAGACUGUGAGGGCAAAAUUGGGACGAGUGACUCAGCUCAGGGUUCCUCUUUGCAAGUUCAAGUGAAAAGGCAGAGGAUGGCAGGGCGCGCUGCUCUUGAUAGCGUUUGCAUCGCUUCUUCAUACCUCUCGUGCACUCUUCGUUUCCCGCCGAUUCGACUUGGCGUCCUUACCUUGUUUGAGGGUUAUGUGUCACGGACUUGGUUCCGCAUCCCACGUUCCCUUGCUAGGAGUCCCUAGCCUUGGCGACAGGUAGCGACGUGCACUUGGGCGCUUGGCGUCCUUGGGUAAGUUCGGGGGCGGUGCCCAAGCUUGCAGCUAUGGUGACAACUUGCAUGGGAGCAGAUGAUGUAGGAACAAGGCAGCACACGAGUAACUCGCAGCCAGGGAAAUGAUACCUAGCCGGACAUGCAGGCAGUGGAGAGUACACGGGAGGUGUGGGUAGGGGUGAAAACGUUGCCGGGAGCUGCUGCCGUUAGUUAGCCUUUAGAUCCAGAGCCGAGUGGCGAGGGUAUGACGAUAGGGGAAGCAUGGAAGAUUCCUUCCUUUGAAGAUUGAAGCUGGAGAACUUUCGGGAGUAGUAUGAUCAACAUAAGACAUAUCGGAUUUGCAUAUGUAUAGUAUGGUCGGCAUGAGUGCGGUAUUGGUGGACUAUUAGAUCAUCUUGGACAUUACUACUUUGAUUCUAGGUUGGAGGUAACUUGGGCACUUGGAUUUGUGAUAUUUUGACCUAAGCUUAGUAGCUUGUAUAUGCCUCAUUGGAUCAUCUUGGAUAUUACUACUUGGAUUCUAGGUUGGAGGUAACUUGGGCACUUGGAUUUGUGAUAUUUUGACCUAAGCUUAGUAGCUUGUAUGUGCCCCAUAUAUGGAUAUGAGCAUGGAGAUGAUACAAAUGGAUCGGGGUUGGUAGACUUUGAUGAUUUUGCUAGCCCUCCCCAUAUGUAUUGGACUUAGAUAACUAUGAUACUAUGCUUGGUUGGAUUAUAAUUAUGAUUUUUGCUAGAUUCCUUUGAAGAUUGAAGCUGGAGAACUUUAGGAUGUAGUAUGAUCAACUUGAGAUAUAUCAGAUUUAUAUAGGCAUAUGUGAUUGGCAUGAGUGUGGUAUUGGUGGACUAUUGGAUCAUCUUGGAUAUCACUACUUGGAUUCUAG
rnacentral:lncRNA from 1 species